CGCAAGCCUGACGGAGCAACGCCGCGUGAGGGAUGAAGGCCUCUGGGCUGUAAACCUCUUUUAUCAAGGAAGAAGAUCUGACGGUACUUGAUGAAUAAGCCACGGCUAAUUCCGUGCCAGCAGCCGCGGUAAUACGGGAGUGGCAAGCGUUAUCCGGAAUUAUUGGGCGUAAAGCGUCCGCAGGCGGUCUUGUAAGUCUGUCGUUAAAACGUGGAGCUUAACUCCAUUUCGGCGGUGGAAACUACAAGACUAGAGUGUGGUAGGGGCAGAGGGAAUUCCCGGUGUAGCGGUGAAAUGCGUAGAUAUCGGGAAGAACACCAGUGGCGAAGGCGCUCUGCUGGGCCAUAACUGACGCUCAUGGACGAAAGCCAGGGGAGCGAAAG
rnacentral:rRNA from 1 species